rnacentral:rRNA from 1 species
AUGGCGCGCGGCGUGGCGGCGGCUACCAAGGGCGGCGCGGGCGCCGGGAAGAAGAAGGGGUCGGUCACCUUCGUGAUCGACUGCACCAAGCCCGUCGACGACAAGAUCAUGGAGAUCGCGUCGCUUGAGAAGUUCCUGCAGGAGCGCAUCAAGGUCGCCGGGGGCAAGGCCGGCAACCUCGGGGACUCCGUCACCGUCGCCCGCGACAAGAGCAAGGUCACCGUCACCUCCGACGGGGCCUUCUCCAAGAGGUACUUGAAGUACUUGACGAAGAAGUACCUGAAGAAGCACAACGUGCGUGACUGGCUUCGGGUGAUUUCAUCCAACAAGGACCGCAGCGUCUACGAGCUCCGGUACUUCAACAUUGCUGAGAACGAGGGCGAGGAGGAGGACUAG